AUGGCUCAGUGAGGCCUUGGGAUUGGCCAGGGGAGAUGGGCGACCAUCACCCCAGGCCGAAAACUUGGUCAAACUUGGUCAUUUAGAGGAAGUAAAAGUCGUAACAAGGUUUCCGUAGGUGAACCUGCGGAAGGAUCAUUACCGAGUUAGGGUCUCCUCCGUGAGGCCCGACCUCCCAACCCUGUGUCUACUCAACUUGUACGUGUUGCUUCGGCGGACCAGCAGUCCCCCGCUUACCGCGGGGAACCGUCGCCGGGGGGGAAAAACGGUCCUCUGUGACCGCCUCUGGAGAGCGUCCGCCGAUGGCCCAACCCAAACAACUCCCAAAUCCAAAUAAUAUUAUACCUAAACGUCUGAAUCAGACCAUUUUGAUACACCAAUCAAAAACAAAACUUUCAACAACGGAUCUCUUGGUUCUGGCAUCGAUGAAGAACGCAGCGAAAUGCGAUAAGUAAUGCGAAUUGCAGAAUUUCCGUGAGUCAUCGAAUCUUUGAACGCACAUUGCGCCCUUUGGCAUUCCGAAGGGCAUGCCUGUUCGAGCGUCAUUAUCCUCUCUCAAACCUCGUGUUUGGUGUUGGGCCGCGUUGGACCACCCGUGGCCAACUGGUCUCAAAGACAAUGACGGCGUCUGAAGGACCCUCUUCGCACUGAGCUUUCUCCGAGGCACGCGUGGAGUUGAAAGGACCCAAGGACCCGGUCACCUCUUAUUUUCUUUUAAGGUUGACCUCGGAUCAGGUAGGAAUACCCGCUGAACUUAAGCAUAUCAAUAAGCGGAGGAAAAGAAACCAACAGGGAUUGCCUCAGUAACGGCGAGUGAAGCGGCAACAGCUCAAAUUUGAAAUCUGGCCUUUACGGUCCGAGUUGUAAUUUGUAGAGGAUGUUUUGGGCACCGCUCCGGGUUAAAUUUCUUGGAACAGAAUGUCAAAGAGGGUGAGAGUCCCGUCUUGGCCCGCGGUAGGACCUAUGUAAAACUCCUUCGACGAGUCGACUUGUUUGGGAAUGCAGGUCCAAAUGGGUGGUAAAUUUCAUCUAAAGCUAAAUAUUGGCCAGAGACCGAUAGCGCACAAGUAGAGUGAUCGAAAGAUGAAAAGCACUUUGAAAAGAGAGUUAAACAGUAUGUGAAAUUGUUGAAAGGGAAGCGCUGGCAACCAGACUCGAGCGCGGUGUUCCCCUUGGCUUCUGCCUUGGUUAUUUCACCGUGACCGGGCCAUCAUCAGUUUUGGGGGUUGGUUAAAGAUCUAGGGAAUGUAUCCUCUCUUUCGGGGGAGGACUUAUAGCCCUGGAUGUCAUGCAGCCUCCCGGGACUGAGGAACGCGCUUCGGCGAGGAUGAUGGCGUAAUGGUUGUCAGCGACCCGUCUUGAAACACGGACCAAGGAGUCUAACAUCUAUGCGAGUGUUCGGGUGUCAAACCCUUGCGCGGAAUGAAAGUGAACGGAGGUAGGAAGGCCUGAGCCUGCACUAUCGACCGAUCCUGAUGUCUUCGGAUGGAUUUGAGUAAGAGCAUAGCUGUUGGGACCCGAAAGAUGGUGAACUAUGCGUGAAUAGGGUGAAGCCAGAGGAAACUCUGGUGGAGGCUCGCAGCGGUUCUGACGUGCAAAUCGAUCGUCAAAUUUGCGUAUAGGGGCGAAAGACUAAUCGAACCAUUGGUAAAUCACUACUAGGUGGUUAAGAGUCAAGUGUGAAAAGCACUGGCUAGUCGUGGGUCCACGGCAAGGUCGUCAAAUUGCGGGAACACCCUAAAGCCUGAGGUACCGCCGAACCGUCCCGAAAGGGCGACCGGCACCACGGAGAGAUUUCGUGGGUAUGGUAACAAUCCAAAGGAUGGUCCAGGUCAAGUCCUGGGCCGCUGUAAUGGGCAAUCCGCAGCCAAGCCUGUUUCCCCCCGUGGUAUGGGGGGAGAUUGGGUGCAGUUCAUCGACUAGAUGUCGACCGGGUUCCGGGUUUGUUCCCACAAGUCCAGGGCCUCAAGAUAUAGUCAGGCCCCCGGGGAGACCCGGGCGAGGGGAUGAAGUAGGGAGGAUUGGCCCCGGUAUCACGUCCACCAGACGUGACGGUCCUGCCUACCCGAAUCCCUUUGGCCGGUUCCAUUGGACCGGUGAUGACA
rnacentral:rRNA from 1 species